UGAAGGAAACAUGUUCUCUCGAUGAGGAAGUACCAUCUACUAGUGAUGGAGCUGAGCAUGUUGAAGUAUGCACUGGGGAAGCAAACGAUUCGCCAUUUGAAGAAGAACUACAUGCAGUUGGUGAAGAUAUUUGUGAAUCCCAGUCUCCAUGUAAAUCGUGCCAUCGUCUUAAGAAAAAACUUACAUCUUUACAAGACUUUAAGCUGGUAUAAAAAGUCUAAAGCAUCUUUGAAGAAAAAGGCCCAGAAGUUGCAAAAUGAAUAUCGAAGCGAAAUCAGGGAAAAUCAUAAUACAUCCGUGGUGACCAGCAUUAAUAUACAUGAUGAAAUGCAGGGGGAGUGUUGAAGACCUUUUUGAAGGAGAAUCAUACAUGGACUACUACUCUUUCGAAGAGUCUAGUCAGAGUGAAGAUUUAGAUGAAGAUACCACAAGUAAUACAGUCAGAAUUGAUGAAGGAGCAAGCUCGCAUGAACAACCUAUGUUCAUGGUAUUUUACAUCUCAUUGGUUGAGUUAUUUGAAAAAUUUUUCUUUAACUGAAAAUCCAAAAGUACACAUUAAAAACAUUGGUUCGAUGGCCAUUGUAGAGCAAAAUUGUGGUAAAUGUGUUGAAAAGAACAUUAUGUGGAGAAGCGAACCUAUGGUUUUGGGAAGAUAUCCAGCUGGAAACGUUAUGACUAAUUUUGGUAUAUUGAUGUCUGGUGUCAGUAUAAGUCAGGCCAUGCUGAUGUUCAAGCACAUGAAUCUCUCAGCAAAUAGUGUGUCCACUUAUCAUGUGCAUCAACGCACGUUCUUGUUUCCAGCUAUUCUGAAGCAUUGGGAAAGCUAUCAGUCAAAAUUAAUUGAAGAUGUGAAAAAAGUGAUGCAGAUUUUCAGACAUGGUCAGGAGAUGGACGCUUUGAUUCUAUGGGGCACAGUGCGAAAUAUGGAGUCUACACAAUUUGGAGCAACACAACAUCAAAGCUGGUUCAUUUUGAAUUGCUUCAGGCCAAUGAAGUUGGUAGCAGAAAUGCCAUAGAACUGGAGGGAGCAAAAAGAUCUUUUCAGUUUCUUGAGAAAUCUGGGCUUAGCUUGGAUGUUUUCAUCGUCAGUUGAAAAAAUCAAAGGAUGGACAAGUGAAUAUGUUGAACAAGUAAAGAAUGUUCUUUUCAUGUCUAAUAAACAAGAACUUUCAACUAUAAUGGAAAGAUAUAGAGGAAAAGCGGCCGAACCUUUGUGCAGCCAGUUUCUCACCAAACGAUCCAAGGCUGAGGCAAUAAAAAAAUAUGUUGUGAGGAACAAGCAUGUCAGUCAUGCACUUUACCGUGCUUGGAACAGCAAAGACAGAAGUUACAAGACCUAACAGAUGAUGUGGAUCAAAUAUUAAAUAGCGCUGGGAAUAAAAGUGCUCGCAAAUGUACUAAAUGCAAAGCUCCAAUAAAAGGACAUCCUCGAGGUCAAUGCUCCACUGAAAAAGAAUAAAUUGAAGUUGGUAGAUGAUAGGGCAGUGGUCAGACAUUGCAUGGAGCCUGUCUGGAAUGGAGAAGUAAGGCACCUCCUUCCCACCACCAGCCUGAGGGUUCACCUCAGGCAAGUGAUAGUACCCUCUAGCCUCCCUAUCUGGGCACUGAUAUACUCAUCUUUCCUGAUGAUUACAGUAUUAAUAUAACAUUGAAUGGUAUGUAUACUUGUCAGAUUGAAGAUGACUAUCUCACUCGAUAGUACAGCAUGGCCAUUUUGUGAAAAACAAAAGUUAAUACCAAGAGGGGACUCGUGGUGUACUUGUGUCAUCCAAAGGAUGUUAAUAAUCUCAUCGAUAUCUUGGGUUUUAUUACGUAAAGAUCGAAUUUCUUGUCGGUCAGAUAUACAAGCAACAUGUGCACAACUUAACUCAGUCUUUUCUAUCCUUCCUACAAAACAUUGUUACUGUACCAGAUGACUCUCUGCUAAAAUUUUCAUUUUCUCUAAACUUUAAAUUUGAUAAAUAACGAAAUGUAGGCGAUGAUUUUUUGGCAUAACGAAAUUCAACAUACUCCGACGCUUUCCAUCCAAAAUUUUCGUCUAUGUCUUUCUUUAAAAAAUCUUCGUCAUUUUCCCUGUCCAGCGCUACAGUCACAUACAAACGUGGCUUUGGGUUAAAUGUUAUUCCACAACGUCCAUUUAUCCAAGGAAAUCUGCAUGAAAUAAUACACAUUCAAGCUACACUCUACUAAAUAUUGCAGUAAUCGUAUUUUAAAAACUUUCUGUGUAUUUUUUACUGACUUAAAGCUUUUUACUAUUGCUAUUAAUUGUUCAUGUAUACGUUAAAUUUUAAACUGAAAAAAAGUUACAAGACUUUUUUCAAUAUACCUUAACCGUUAUAACAGUCCCUGCUAUAAAUUACUAUUGCUAAAAACAGUUAUUUAGGAGGUUCGUUGUGUUUAAAUUAUGCUUUUUGUUUGAAAAGAGACAAGAAGAUAUAUUUGAGUAUCUUAUGCUACAGCAGAAAACAAUAAAUUAAAAGAUAUCAAAUAGAUUUAUAUUUACUUCUUUA